CUGUAGGCUGCAACUCGCCUACACGAAGUCGGAAUCGCUGUAAUCGCGGAUCAGCAUGCCGCGGUGAAUACGUUCCCGGGCCUUGUACACACCGCCCGUCACACCAUGGGAGUUUGUAACGCCCAAAGUCGGUGGCCUAACCUUUAUGGAGGGAGCCGCCUAAGGCGGGACAGAUGACUGGGGUGAAGUCGUAACAAGGUACC
rnacentral:rRNA from 1 species